CAUCUAUCGCCUAAGUGAUGUGACUCUUUUUCUGCCUGCAGCCUGCACAUAGAGAAGAUUGUGACAUAUAGCUCUGCCCAGUAACCAGGUGAUGUGUCUUUUCUGGCAGGUCUUUUCCCACAGGGAGCAUUGUGAAACAUCACUGGGCUCAGCCACCAGGAGACAUGCCCAAAAAAGGGAUUGUGGCAUAUCUCUGAGCCCAGCACCCAAAUGUUGUGACUCUCCUGCCUGAGCUGUGCCUAGAGAAAAUAUUAUAAUAUGUCACCGGACCCUGCAUGCAAGUGAUCCAAUUCUCCAGUCUGGGCCUUGCCCAUAGAGGAGAUUGAGACAUAUUCCAGGUGAAGAAUUCAGGUGGAUGGUGACUCUAAGACCAGGAUUCAACACACCUAGAAGGCUUUGACUCUGAUACCAGUCACAGAAGGCUCUGUGACUCUUCUAUUUUCUCUAGGUCAUGCAAAUGGAGGCGGAUUUUGACAUAUCAUAAAGCCAACAUAAUACACAGUCUGCAGGUGGAAUUGGGACUCUCAUGCAUGGAUCCAGUUCAUCAUUGAUACUGUGACUCAUGUACUUGGAUGCAACUCACAGGAGGUGUUGACGCUUUUUACCUGAAGCUGGGACAUGUGUGGAAUUGUGAAUCCUAGCCCUAGAUCUUCCCACAGGUCAUGCAAAUGGAGGGGGAUUGUUACAUAUCAUAGGGCCAACACAAAAAUAAUGUAAAACUCCUGCCUGAGCCAUGCCCAUAGAAGGCAUUGUGACAUAUCACCCGUCACAGCACUCAGGUGGGAUUUUGACAUAUAACUGCACCCAGCACACAGGUGAAGUAUCUCGUAUGCUCAUCCUGCCAAAAGUUAUGAGUGUCACCCUCACACAUGGACAGAGACCUCUGGUUA
rnacentral:lncRNA from 10 species